ACGUUAGUUAACAGAUCUGGUGACACUACAUUAGAGUCUAUAUGGCAAAAUGAUCUCAUUAGACUACCGUAAUCUUAUAAGACAUGACAUCAUCGUACAAUGUUAAGCGAUAUCUGUCAAACCUCCACCCUUUUAUUCCUUUUACGCUUUUACGUAGAAAGCCUAAAACUGUAAGGGAAAAUUAAAACUACUGGAUGAACGACAUCAGUCAAUCGGGUUUUGCGAUAGCAUCGAAAACGGGUGUAACCAACUAAGAAAGUAGUUUUGCUUUUCGACAAGUUUUCCGACAUUAGCGGCAUCUAGCGGUAAAUACAUUUAAUGGCCCCUUUUGUUUUUAGUUCAAAAAGGCAGAUGGCACAUGACUUGUCCAAUUUUCCAUAUUUGAAGUGUCAAAUGGCGUUCCGUACUGAGGUUUCUAUUAUGUAUAUUUUUUGUUGUUACAGUUGAUGUCGAUCGAAAGGCGUUUUACAGUUGCUUCUCCUUGAAUUGGUUGCAUCUAGACAUUUUCAAUUUGGAUCUGUUCCCUGUCUAUAAAAAUGUAUUGAUCAGAAAAUAUUUUAUAUUGAUAGUGUCUUCUUGAGAGGGCUCGAGAUGUACUGAAAUUCUACCUCUCAAUUACCGAAGGUGAUUACUUGACAUUUGUGUUUAAAAACAUCUUUGUUUACUUGUUUCAAACUAUUGUGCUGUUUCUGCUUGAGUUCAAGAAGAGCGAGGAGAUUCAAUAACCAGAAUGAAGCACAUAAACAUCCCUAAAAUAGGAUUGCAACAUUAAGUGCCAACUGCAUGUCAUUUCAAAUUCAGUAUGACAUUGAAAGUUUUUUUCUUACAGAAGAACAAGAAUUAAAAAACAAAAACAAAAAAACAUUGGAUAAAACAGGGAUCAUAAGGUGACAGGACAAGGGUUACUUUCAUGAAUUUAAGUGGAUGCAGAGUGAAGAAAAAGCUGACAGCCUAGACAGCUUAUUUGCACAGUUGCAAAUGAUCUUUUUUUUUAAAUUUUUUUUAUCAAUCUCACACUCACUCUCCUAAGUUUUUUUAAAUUGCAGGUUGAACAAACUUACAACUCUGACUUGAAGGUUUGCUGAUAUUUGACAACAUUGUUGGCUUUUCAAUGUAGAUGAUAUGAAUCAAAGUUAAAUUUACACAAACAAGACAUUGGCAAUGACUAUUCAUACAUUAACUGCAGUCACAGACUUAUUGUCAGUACUAGAAACGAAUUCCAUUCAUACCGCUGCCGUUCCAAUGAUGAAUGAAACCAAUGAUACGUUCGUACUCGAGGAACUUAUGUCUCAUCGUAUCUUUCAAGGUAACGUCAGAUCAUUUGAACCGUGGAAUUGAAUUUACUCAAAGGGAAGAGAACCCAGAACCCAAACGGUCGAUGCAUUGAAAAUGUCGGACCCCUGUUGAUGAAGUUUCAACAGCACUCUUCCACAAGACGCACGCGAAGCAAACGAUAGCGAAAGAGAUAUGGACUUGAAUUUGUUGUUUACAACCCAUGGCUUUCCCGCAUUCCAGGAUUAGUCUUAUACACCUUCUGCACUUCUACAGAGCGUUCGGGAACGAAAUUAGUUGUGGAUGGGUUUGCUGUUGACAAGCAAGGGAAGGAUUUUUUACCAAAGUAGACAGGAUAUUUAUUCUAAAUCCCACAAUGUCCUGGUAAUAAAUUACUACAAAUCAUACUGAAUUAGAAUAGGAUUUUGACUGAAAGUGGAUGCCAAAACAAUGGAUGAUAAUUGGAAGCGCGAUUGGAAAUAUCUAUGAUUUAUUAACGUUGUCUCAUGUUACGGUAUUUUAUUAAAGACAAAUUUAAGUGCA